CCAGACUCCUACGGGAGGCAGCAGUAGGGAAUCUUCGGCAAUGGACGAAAGUCUGACCGAGCAACGCCGCGUGAGUGAAGAAGGUUUUCGGAUCGUAAAACUCUGUUGGUAGAGAAGAACGUUGGUGAGAGUGGAAAGCUCAUCAAGUGACGGUAACUACCCAGAAAGGGACGGCUAACUACGUGCCAGCAGCCGCGGUAAUACGUAGGUCCCGAGCGUUGUCCGGAUUUAUUGGGCGUAAAGCGAGCGCAGGUGGUUUAUUAAGUCUGGUGUAAAAGGCAGUGGCUCAACCAUUGUAUGCAUUGGAAACUGGUAGACUUGAGUGCAGGAGAGGAGAGUGGAAUUCCAUGUGUAGCGGUGAAAUGCGUAGAUAUAUGGAGGAACACCGGUGGCGAAAGCGGCUCUCUGGCCUGUAACUGACACUGAGGCUCGAAAGCGUGGGGAGCAAGCAGGAUUAGAUACCCUGGUAGUCCACGCCGUAAACGAUGAGUGCUAGAUGUAGGGAGCUAUAAGUUCUCUGUAUCGCAGCUAACGCAAUAAGCACUCCGCCUGGGGAGUACGACCGCAAGGUUGAAACUCAAAGGAAUUGACGGGGCCCGCACAAG
rnacentral:rRNA from 1 species